AAUCAACGCUGGCGGCGUGCCUAACACAUGCAAGUCGAACGAGAAAGUGGAGCAAUCCAUGAGUACAGUGGCGAACGGGUGAGUAACACGUGACUAACCUACCUUCCAGUGGGGGAUAACCUCGGGAAACCGGGGCUAAGACCGCAUAACCUCGUGAGGUGAGAUUCCUUGCGAGCAAAGGGGUAAGACGCUGGAUGAGGGGGUCGCGGCCGAUUAGCUAGUUGGCGGGGUAACGGCCCACCAAGGCGAUGAUCGGUAGCCGGCCUGAGAGGGCGCACGGCCACACUGGAACUGAAACACGGUCCAGACUCCUACGGGAGGCAGCAGUGGGGAAUUUUGCACAAUGGGGGAAACCCUGAUGCAGCAACGCCGCGUGGAGGAUGAAGUCCCUUGGGACGUAAACUCCUUUCGACCGGGACGAUAAUGACGGUACCGGUGGAAGAAGCCCCGGCUAACUCCGUGCCAGCCGCCGCCGUAA
rnacentral:rRNA from 1 species